UGGUUUUAGGGUUCUCAGUGUUUCAUUGCCAUGGCAAGAAAGUCAAUUUGGACAUAACUUCGCACAGAAAAGGCAUGAACACUCGAGGUAUGGAAGUCACGGCCAACAGACUGGAUCUCAGCGUUCCUUUCCUCUCUUUUGUCCCAGGGGUCUGUCUGUGGCGUCCAUCCAGGUUGAACGCGCAGGAAAGCUUGCUUAAUAUGCAUUUCUGAGCGUCCUGGUGCUGAAGGAAGAAUGAAUCAAUAGAACUCUGGAACAAAAGAAGAAUAGCAAGACAAUUUGGGAUUUCAAGACUCUAAUUAAGAACAAGGCUCGGCGCUGAGAGAGGAGGAGAGGGGCCAACAAGGGCAGAGUAAUGGUCUAAGAGAAACCACGCAGGACACGGCGCUCGUUGUGGCGGACGGGCCAUUAUCUCAUAAGGGCCAUUAUCUUAAUGGGGUGACCGUCUCGAUAUGACAGAUAUCACAGAAGGACUGACACAUAAACAGUUUUUAUAAGAUGAAUUUGCCAGUGUACAAUCUCUGCGGUAAAACACAUUUGACCCAUAGCCGUAUACUGAUGUAUAUAACCUUGUCAAGGUGGGUUACAGUUGCUUUGUGUGUGUAUAUUGUCGAUGUUGAUACAAAACAAAAGUUUACUCACAAAUACAC